AAACUAGCAGAAAUUCCUGAUGAUAUCAACAUCAACGUCCAAGAAUGCAUUUCUUCUUUUCACUUUGAGCUGGGACUAAACGUUGUGGGAGAAGAUUCAAUGACAAAACUCCUUAUGUGACCUAUGAUGAUAUUUCUACAGUACUUACUCCAUAUGCAAUAUCAAGUCCCCCAAGUUUCUAGCUACAUCAACAUAUAGAGAAGGUUAUGUUAAGAAUAUCCUGGCUACACACACAGAUCUCUCCUGCUGGAGGUUGUGAGAUUCAGCCAAGCUUUAUGCCUCACUGAUCUCUGGAGACUACGGAGAGGAUCUGCCCAGCCAGCCCUGACCUGAGAAGGAUGAGCUCUGCUGAGCAGUACUGAGGGAUGAGAUGGGAUCAGAAGGACAGUUCCCUUUUCCUCAGACCACAUGUGCUUUCAACACAAUGAGGCCAGGGGUCUCAUUGACCAGCACUGUACUAAUAUGAUACCUUUAAACAACAAGCUGCUUCUCCAGAUUACCCUUGCAUCACAAAAAACAAAACAACAACAACAACAAAACUGUAUAAUGCAUUGGAGUUAGUGUAGACAAGAUUUCAUUAUUUUGCAGUUUCAGGGCUGUCAUAAUACAUACAGUCCACUUAAUGCAUACAGCAUUUCAUUCUUUUUUUUCUGUGCUUAAAUUUAGUAACAUUGUAAGAGAAUGUCACACUUCUGCUGAUGCAGAGGUCCUUAUUUCUUCAUUUUGUCCUAGCGAAGCUACUGCAGAGAUUCAUUUCUUACUAAUAACUCUGCAUGUGCAAUUAACAGCUGAUGCAAAAAUCCCCUGCGUGAUCUCUGCUGGCAUUGAAUAGCUACAGCUCAUAACUCCAGAUCUGGCCCUGCUACAACUCUGGUUGUUAAUAUGAACUCAUAUUAGUUUCAAGGUGUUUUUGUUACAUUGGGAAGACCUUUCAUUUAAUUAAUGGAUAUCUAACAAUUCUUGGACCAUCCUUUUCCAUACAUCUCCAUUUUCCCCAAGUCACAGAGUUUUGGCAAUGGCUUCUAAGAUAAAUGGUAGCUGACAACUGGUAACUUGCCCUUUAGGCAACAUUUUCUGCAAAUGUUAAUACCUGGGUGUUCACAAACCCUUAGUCUCUUCACUGACAGUCCCUGCAGGAAAUUUUACUGUGUGAAACAAAUACAGGACAGCUGCAUAUAUGUUACUGAUUUGCUAAUAUAACACAUUGUCAAGAAAACAUUGCCAAAAGAAGUCAAGACCACUUCAAUCCAAGACAGUGGUCUAAUUUCCAUCUUUUUCAUUGCAGAUUACAGCCUUUGAAAGCACUCAGUGUUGUGAGGAUGUAACAAAAAUGGCAGCUGAUGUGAUUUAGUUUCUCUUAAAAGGGCCUCAGACUACCUAGUUCCUACACUCAUUAUUGAAUAUUGGCAGAAAACAGGGCUGUAAGGGAAAUCUAAUGAGAAUUUAUAAUUUCUCACAGCAUAGCCUUUUGUCGGUUUUUCAAGUGAAUUUUUAUGGGUGCAGAUGCAAGCACACUGAAGAAAAGAGAACAGAAAAGUAGAGGUGAGUGAGCAGAGAGCAAAUAACUAAUACAAAAUUUUUGGAGAUUGUACCCAUCAUUACUUUUCCCAUGUUUUAUUUCUUUUUUCCCUAAGAGAAGUAAAAAUUCAACAUAUUAAAAACUUUUACAUCUUCUAAUCUAAUCUAGGGGAUUUGUAGUACAAAGUGAGCUACUAGCUGUCUCUAAUAAGUAAAAUAGCAUGAGUUACAACUCCAUUGGAGAGUUUAUAAUGCAAGAAAAUGGGAACAUUCAGUACCCUCAGGGGAAUGUGAUGUUGAGAGAAAACUGUCAGUAGUUGGAUGUAUAUAUGUAUGCAAUAUUAAUUAUUGUUGUUGUAAUAUGGAAUAAAAGAUGGAUACUGUUCUGGUUUAAUCAGUAUUUUAUAUCAUGACAUGAUGCAGCAAGCUGUUUGGUGCUGGAGCACAGUGCUGGGGAGAAAUACUUCCUUGAGUCCUGUGCUUUUAGCAGUGCCAGCUAUUCUCAUGCGUGUUCCAGCUCUCUGAGACGAAGAUAGGCUGAAGAGACAGACUCACAGAAGUCUCCAGUACUCCUCAUGUGAUUUCCAAUCCUGGGUGAACUGGGGGGAGAGCUCUGCUCUUCUAGGAGGCCAGCCAUGAGGGCCUGCCAGUAAGAUCUCGGACUCUCUCUCCUUCUUUGUUUUUUGUUCAUUUGAUUUAUUAUUCCUAAUUAUUUUGUAUUAUCUCAUAUUUCUUUUAAUAAAUUUGUUCUCUUAUC
rnacentral:lncRNA from 7 species